rnacentral:misc_RNA from 1 species
GUGAAUCAUCAAAUUUUUGAACGCAAAUUGCACUCUCCUCGGAUAGGAUGCCUGUUUCAGGUUCAGCCUAUAAAAAAUCGACAUCCUUGCUGUUUCGCGUGGGCGUGCGUCGUAUAUUGGUUCAUCUUAAAUCUGUUGUGUUUAAGCGACUUAAAAUUUUCCUUUUGGUUCCAUGAACGUUACUAAGAUGUAUUGCGUUACACGUUUAAGGUAUCGAUUUUUAUUAGACGUAACCAUCAUAUCGGAUC